ensembl:snoRNA Gm22394 predicted gene, 22394
UGCUGAUGGGCCUUCACCCCUCUCUGCUCAGGGUUCCCGGGAGCCAGGGGAGAUGCUGCCUCGGAAGCUGAAGCA